rnacentral:rRNA from 1 species
UACAGAGGGUGCGAGCGUUAAUCGGAAUUACUGGGCGUAAAGCGUGCGUAGACGGUCAUGUAAGUCGGGUGUGAAAGCCCCGGGCUCAACCUGGGAAUUGCAUUCGAGACUGCAUGGCUAGGAUGCGGAAGAGGGAAGCGGAAUUUCCGGUGUAGCGGUGAAAUGCGUAGAUAUCGGAAGGAACACCAGUGGCGAAAGCGGCUUCCUGGUCCAGCAUCGA